rnacentral:pre_miRNA from 1 species
UACGAGCUUUCAUACUUUUGGUCUGAUUCUAAAGAGGAUUCAUGGUGCAGGGAGGAUAUGGAUAUAUGACUGAUCUAAUGAUCUAUGGAUGGUUAUGAGGAAUUAUGUUGACAGAAGAUAGAGAGCACAAC